rnacentral:rRNA from 1 species
AUUGAACGCUGGCGGCAUGCUUUACACAUGCAAGUCGAACGGUAACAGGUCUUCGGAUGCUGACGAGUGGCGAACGGGUGAGUAAUGCAUCGGAACGUGCCCAGUCGUGGGGGAUAACGCAGCGAAAGCUGCGCUAAUACCGCAUACGAUCUAUGGAUGAAAGCGGGGGACCGUAAGGCCUCGCGCGAUUGGAGCGGCCGAUGUCAGAUUAGGUAGUUGGUGGGGUAAAGGCUCACCAAGCCAACGAUCUGUAGCUGGUCUGAGAGGACGACCAGCCACACUGGAACUGAGACACGGUCCAGACUCCUACGGGAGGCAGCAGUGGGGAAUUUUGGACAAUGGGCGCAAGCCUGAUCCAGCAAUGCCGCGUGCAGGAAGAAGGCCUUCGGGUUGUAAACUGCUUUGUACGGAACGAAACGGUCUGGG